AAUAAAACCCUCAAGUAAUUGGAUGGAAUUUCUAUGUGCCUCUUCCCAGCAAGCAUCCCUUACCCUUUUGGGGGAGACAUGGCUAUAUGUCAGGCCUGUGAGAACCCAAUGCAGGAACAGCAUGUGAUAUGAAAAUGGAAACUGUCAGAUUGAAACCAUACAUGGCGAAGUCAAAAAGAGACUCUUUCUUGCACUGUUUCAGAGCUAUCUUCUGUCUCAUGCUAGCAGUGGAAUAGGAAAAGGACUCAAAAGACUUCUACUGGCCAUAAUGAAGUACCUGUUACUAUAUUUGCUUUCCUACCAUAAGCAACUAUAAAACUGGACAAUAUAUAGGCAACUGAUCUCAUGCAUUUCAAGCAGCACAGGAUUCUGAUAAUUAACAGAAGGAAAGCACAUGAGAAACCCCUGCUAAGUUGGGGGAGUCAUUUUAGUUGUCUUGCUUAAUUAGGACUUAGGAUGCAUGGACACAUUGGGAUAGUUAUCAAAUGCUAUUGAAAAGUUUGUUUGGAAUAAGAUUCUAAGGAAUCUUGUCUACCAAAGCAAUCCAUUUGCUGAUCAUUUGAGGGAGCCACCAGAGAUUAGUAGGCAGAGAAAAGAAUAAUGAGAAUUAGGCAUUUUCUAAUUUUUCUUUUUUCCCAUAUCCAUAUUUUAGGAUAAUACUGGAGGCUGCCAUGGGAGAAGUCUGCACAAAAAGAGCAAGUUUAAGAGCUUCAGGAGUCAUAAAUGGCUUGAGAAGAUUAUGCUAGAGAUUGAAGCAGAUGGAAGAUUCUAGAAACAGAAAGCAUUCUUUUCAUUGGUGUGAGUCUUGAAUAUAAAUGGAAAUCAGAGGUCUGUAAUAGCAGGCCAGUGUGGAUAAGGCAGUAAGGUUUUGAGUCUGAGGAGAUGGCUGGGGGCAGUUUGUAGACUUAUUGUCAGUCCAGUGUAGAAUUUGAGAAUAUAGCCAGGGCUUAAGGUUCCAGUUUCAAAUUAAAGACAAAAGAAAUCAGCAAUACCAAAAUGAAGACAGAAGCCUGGGAAUUGUGCCUCAAGAUCUGGACUGAGAGGACAUUUCUACACAACAGCUCCCCUAAGGGCAGGGCUAUGACCGUUGUUGCUAAGCUGUCACCAUCUCUCCUUCCCUAUUAGACUGGCUUCUGUGGGGUAAUUAACCAGUACAAGGAUGUAUGGGAAGCUCUUCUGAGAAGACCUCACAUUAAAACAAAGUGUUGUUAUUCAAGCUGGGUCAUAUUUGGGCACCUUGUUAUUACAGCUUUGAGGAGGGAUAUCAAACUGUCAUAUUCACCUAUGAGUUUAGGAUCAGUGGAGGGAAGAGAACAGAAGGGCCACACAGAAGGGGAAGCUCAGGCACAGAUGGCCAGCAGCCAGGCUCGCUGUAGAGGUGAGAUUAUCAAACAUGACCAUACAAAGGCUGCAGAGGCAAGAUGCUUCCAAUAGCCAGGAAGAAUGUGGGCAGGGGAGAAUUUGGUCCAUUUGAAGUCAGAAUUAUACAUGAAGACACUUGUAAUCAAAUAAAUGCAGAACAUAUUUGUAAAGGGAAAUAAAGUAGGAGUUAAUUUUUUUUAACAAAUUAUGAUUGAAAUCUAAAAUACCAAGAUUAACAUUCUACAAGGGUAUUAAUACAACAAUGCCAUUUUAACUCAAAGAAUGUCUAAAUAUUUGUACAAAAUAGCUGCUUACUGAUGCUUGUGAAAAGGAAGAGAUUGCUUCCCAGCACACUGUAUCAGAGAGCCAUGAUAAUAGCCAUAGCUUAAGCAGACAAAGUAAAAUGUAAAAAUCCAAAAAAGUAUCCAUCACUACUACCACCACUCUUUAAAAAUGCAAAGCUAUUAUUUAUGGUGCAUUCCAAUUCAGUUAACUUCCUUCUUGCCUUUAAAUAGAUGCCCCUGACUUAAUUGAAGUGUUUUAAUUAAUAACAUAAAAAUAACAAAUUGGAACUAGAAAAUGAUUACAAAAUAGAAGAAAAGCCUGGGAAUGUCAAGAGGUUCUUAAGAAUAUCAGAUAAGUGAGCUCAUUCAGUGAUAGAACAAGAAAUACUAGAGGGAUAAGCUGAAAGCUACAUAGGACUGAAGUUUUUUAGACUCUACAUUUAUCAAAGUAUUGGGUCAAUUUUGUUGUGG
rnacentral:lncRNA from 10 species